rnacentral:rRNA from 1 species
UACAGAGGGGGGCAAGCGUUGUUCGGAAUUACUGGGGCGUAAAGGGCGCGUAGGCGGCCUUCUAAGUCGAACGUGAAAUCCCCGGGCUCAACCCGGGAACUGCGUCCGAUACUGGAAGGCUUGAAUCCGGGAGAGGGAUGCGGAAUUCCAGGUGUAGCGGUGAAAUGCGUAGAUAUCUGGAGGAACACCGGUGGCGAAGGCGGCAUCCUGGACCGGCAUUGACGCUGAGGCGCGAAAGCCAGGGGAGCAAAGCGGG